GGUGGGGUGGCCGAGUGGCUAAUGGCAGCAGACUGUAAAUCUGCCGGGCUACGCCCUACGUAGGUUCGAAUCCUACCCCCACCA
rnacentral:tRNA from 2 species